CAGAGUUUGAUCCUGGCUCAGAUUGAACGCUGGCGGCAGGCCUAACACAUGCAAGUCGAGCGGCAGCACGGGUACUUGUACCUGGUGGCGAGCGGCGGACGGGUGAGUAAUGCCUAGGAAUCUGCCUGGUAGUGGGGGAUAACGCUCGGAAACGGACGCUAAUACCGCAUACGUCCUACGGGAGAAAGCAGGGGACCUUCGGGCCUUGCGCUAUCAGAUGAGCCUAGGUCGGAUUAGCUAGUUGGUGAGGUAAUGGCUCACCAAGGCGACGAUCCGUAACUGGUCUGAGAGGAUGAUCAGUCACACUGGAACUGAGACACGGUCCAGACUCCUACGGGAGGCAGCAGUGGGGAAUAUUGGACAAUGGGCGAAAGCCUGAUCCAGCCAUGCCGCGUGUGUGAAGAAGGUCUUCGGAUUGUAAAGCACUUUAAGUUGGGAGGAAGGGCAGUUACCUAAUACGUAUCUGUUUUGACGUUACCGACAGAAUAAGCACCGGCUAACUCUGUGCCAGCAGCCGCGGUAAUACAGAGGGUGCAAGCGUUAAUCGGAAUUACUGGGCGUAAAGCGCGCGUAGGUGGUUCGUUAAGUUGGAUGUGAAAUCCCCGGGCUCAACCUGGGAACUGCAUUCAAAACUGUCGAGCUAGAGUAUGGUAGAGGGUGGUGGAAUUUCCUGUGUAGCGGUGAAAUGCGUAGAUAUAGGAAGGAACACCAGUGGCGAAGGCGACCACCUGGACUGAUACUGACACUGAGGUGCGAAAGCGUGGGGAGCAAACAGGAUUAGAUACCCUGGUAGUCCACGCCGUAAACGAUGUCAACUAGCCGUUGGGAGCCUUGAGCUUUUAGUGGCGCAGCUAACGCAUUAAGUUGACCGCCUGGGGAGUACGGCCGCAAGGUUAAAACUCAAAUGAAUUGACGGGGGCCCGCACAAGCGGUGGAGCAUGUGGUUUAAUUUGAAGCAACGCGAAGAACCUUACCAGGCCUUGACAUCCAAUGAACUUUCCAGAGAUGGAUUGGUGCCUUUGGGAACAUUGAGACAGGUGCUGCAUGGCUGUUGUCAGCUCGUGUCGUGAGAUGUUGGGUUAAGUCCCGUAACGAGCGCAACCCUUGUCCUUAGUUACCAGCACGUAAUGGUGGGCACUUUAAGGAGACUGCCGGUGACAAACCGGAGGAAGGUGGGGAUGACGUCAAGUCAUCAUGGCCCUUACGGCCUGGGCUACACACGUGCUACAAUGGUCGGUACAGAGGGUUGCCAAGCCGCGAGGUGGAGCUAAUCCCAGAAAACCGAUUGUAGUCCGGAUCGCAGUUUGCAACUUGACUGCGUGAAGUCGGAAUCGCUAGUAAUCGCGAAUCAGAAUGUCGCGGUGAAUACGUUCCCGGGCCUUGUACACACCGCCCGUCACACCAUGGGAGUGGGUUGCACCAGAAGUAGCUAGUUUAACCUUUGGAGGACGGUACCAACCGUUAAUUUUUUC
rnacentral:rRNA from 1 species